rnacentral:rRNA from 1 species
AUCGAACGCUGGCGGCAGGCUUAACACAUGCAAGUCGAGCGGAGAUGAGGUGCUUGCACCUUAUCUUAGCGGCGGACGGGUGAGUAAUGCUUAGGAAUCUGCCUAUUAGUGGGGGACAACAUUCCGAAAGGAAUGCUAAUACCGCAUACGUCCUACGGGAGAAAGCAGGGGAUCUUCGGACCUUGCGCUAAUAGAUGAGCCUAAGUCGGAUUAGCUAGUUGGUGGGGUAAAGGCCUACCAAGGCGACGAUCUGUAGCGGGUCUGAGAGGAUGAUCCGCCACACUGGGACUGAGACACGGCCCAGACUCCUACGGGAGGCAGCAGUGGGGAAUAUUGGACAAUGGGGGGAACCCUGAUCCAGCCAUGCCGCGUGUGUGAAGAAGGCCUUAUGGUUGUAAAGCACUUUAAGCGAGGAGGAGGCUACUGAGACUAAUACUCUUGGAUAGUGGACGUUACUCGCAGAACAAGCACCGGCUAACUCUGUGCCAGCCGCCGCAGUAAUAC